rnacentral:rRNA from 1 species
AUUGAACGCUGGCGGCAUGCCUUACACAUGCAAGUCGAACGGCAGCGCGGGAGCAAUCCUGGCGGCGAGUGUCGAACGGGUGAGUAAUACAUCUGAACGUGCCCAAUCGUGGGGGAUAACGCAGCGAAAGCUGUGCUAAUACCGCAUACGAUCUACUGAUGAAAGCAGGGGAUCGCAAGACCUUGCGCGAGUGGAGCGACCGAUGGCCGAUUAGGUAGUUGGUGAGGUAAAGGCUCACCAAGCCUUCUAUCUGUAGCUGGUCUGAGAGAACGACCAGCCACACUGGGACUGAGACACGGCCCAGACUCCUACGGGAGGCAGCAGUGGCGAAUGUUGGACAAUGGGCGAAAGCCUGAUCCAGCCAUGCCGCGUGCAGGAUGAAGGCCUUCGGGUUGUAAACUGCUUUUGUACGGAACGAAACGGUCUUUUCUAAUAAAGAAGGUUAAUGACGGUACCGGAAGAAUAAGCACCGGCUAACUACGUG